AUUGAACGCUGGCGGAAUGCUUUACACAUGCAAGUCGAGCGGCAGCGCGGGGCAACCUGGCGGCGAGCGGCGAACGGGUGAGUAACAUAUCGGAACGUACCCCGUCGUGGGGGAUAACUAACCGAAAGGGUAGCUAAUACCGCAUACGACCUGAGGGUGAAAGGGGGGGAUCGGUAGACCCCGCGCGAUGGGAGCGGCCGGUAUCGGAUUAGCUAGUUGGUAGGGUAAAGGCCUACCAAGGCGACGAUCCGUAGCUGGUCUGAGAGGACGACCUGCCACACUGGAACUGAGACACGGUCCAGACUCCUACGGGAGGCAGCAGUGGGGAAUUUUGGACAAUGGGAGAAACCCUGAUCCAGCCAUUCCGCGUGAGUGAAGAAGGCCUUCGGGUUGUAAAGCUCUUUCUGCAGGAACGAAACGGCGGGCUCUAACAUAGCCUGUCACUGACGGUACCUGAAGAAGAAGCACCGGCUAACUACGUGCCAGCAGCCGCAGUAAUAC
rnacentral:rRNA from 1 species